GAUGAACGCUGGCGGCGUGCCUAAUACAUGCAAGUCGAGCGAACAGACGAGGAGCUUGCUCCUCUGACGUUAGCGGCGGACGGGUGAGUAACACGUGGAUAACCUACCUAUAAGACUGGGAUAACUUCGGGAAACCGGAGCUAAUACCGGAUAAUAUAUUGAACCGCAUGGUUCAAUAGUGAAAGACGGUUUUGCUGUCACUUAUAGAUGGAUCCGCGCCGCAUUAGCUAGGUGGUAAGGUAACGGCUUACCAAGGCAACGAUGCGUAGCCGAGCUGAGAGGGUGAUCGGCCACACUGGAACUGAGACACGGUCCAGACUCCUACGGGAGGCAGCAGUAGGGAAUCUUCCGCAAUGGGCGAAAGCCUGACGGAGCAACGCCGCGUGAGUGAUGAAGGUCUUCGGAUCGUAAAACUCUGUUAUUAGGGAAGAACAAAUGUGUAAGUAACUAUGCACGUCUUGACGGUACCUAAUCAGAAAGCCACGGCUAACUACGUG
rnacentral:rRNA from 1 species